GGGCUAUUAGCGCAGGCAGGUAGCGCAGCAGGCUUUUAACCUGAAGGUCCUUCGAAUUAUGGGGGAUCGGGUACAGGUCGUGGGUUCAAAUCCCACAUAGCCCGCCA
rnacentral:tRNA from 1 species